GAUGAACGCUAGCUACAGGCUUAACACAUGCAAGUCGAGGGGUAACGAGAGGAAAGCUUGCUUUCCUUGUCGACGACCGGCGCACGGGUGAGUAACGCAUAUCCAACCUGCCCCCAACUAGGGAAUAACCUUGCGAAAGUAAGACUAAUACCCUAUAAUUUCCUCAGAUGACAUCUGACGAGGAAUAAAGAUUUAUCGGUUGUGCAUGGGGAUGCGUCUGAUUAGCUUGUUGGCGGGGUAACGGCCCCACAAGGCAACGAUCAGUAGGGGUUCAGAGAGAAAGGACCCCCACAUUGGAACUGAGACACGGUCCAAACUGCUACGGGAGGCAGCAGUGAGGAAUAUUGGUCAAUGGGCGGAAGCCUGAACCAGCCAAGUAGCGUGCAGGAUGACGGCCCUAUGGGUUGUAAACUGCUUUUAUACAGGAAUAAAGUUAGCCACGUGUGGUUAUUUGUAGGUACUGUAUGAAUAAGGACCGGCUAAUUCCGUGCCAGCCGCCGCCGUAA
rnacentral:rRNA from 1 species